rnacentral:rRNA from 1 species
GACAGAGGUGCCAAGCGUUAGGCGGAAUCACUGGGCUUAAAGCGUGUGUAGGCGGGCGCCUAAGUACCUUGUGAAAUCCCCCGGCUCAACCGGGGAACGGCUUGGUAUACUGGGCGUCUUGAGCCAACUAGGGGCUGCCGGAACAAAUGGUGGAGCGGUGAAAUGCGUAGAUAUCAGGAGGAACACCUGUGGCGAAAGCGGCUCACUGGACCACAACUGACGCUGAGGCGCGAAAGCUAGGGGAGCAAACAGG